rnacentral:piRNA from 1 species
UAAAAGGACAGACUCCGUUGGUGCAGCACA